ACGGAGGAUCCAAGCGUUAUCCGGAUUUAUUGGGUUUAAAGGGUGCGUAGGCGGACCUUUAAGUCAGUGGUGAAAGUUUGCGGCUUAACCGUAAAAUUGCCAUUGAAACUGAAGGUCUUGAGUGUAAAUGAGGUAGGCGGAAUGUGUUGUGAAGCGGUGUAAUGCUUAGAGAUAGCACAGAACGCCAAUUGCGAAGGCAGCUUGCUAGAAUACAACUGACGCUGAGCCGCGAAAGCGUGCUGAUCAAACAG
rnacentral:rRNA from 1 species